rnacentral:rRNA from 1 species
UGAGGAAUAUUGCGCAAUGGGGGAAACCCUGACGCAGCGACGCCGCGUGGAGGACGAAGGCCUUCGGGUUGUAAACUCCUGUCAGAGGUGAAGAAGCCGCAAGGUUGACGGUAACCUCAGAGGAAGCCCCGGCUAACUACGUGCCAGCAGCCGCGGUAAUACGUAGGGGGCGAACGUUGCUCGGAAUUAUUGGGCGUAAAGGGUGUGUAGGCGGCCGAACAAGUCCAGGAUGAAAUCCCGAGGCUCAACUUCGGAAUGGUCCUUGAUACUGUUCGGCUUGAGGGUAGUUGAGGAGAAUGGAAUUCCCGGUGGAGCGGUGAAAUGCGUAGAUAUCGGGAGGAACACCAGAGGCGAAGGCGAUUCUCUAAGCUAUUCCUGACGCUGAGACACGAAAGCUAGGGGAGCAAACGGG